AUUGAACGCUGGCGGCAGGCCUAACACAUGCAAGUCGAGCGGAGCGGCGGACGGGUGAGUAAUGCCUAGGAAUCUGCCUGGUAGUGGGGGAUAACGUCCGGAAACGGGCGCUAAUACCGCAUACUAUCAGAAGAGCCUAGGUCGGAUUAGCUAGUUGGUGGGGUAAAGGCCUACCAAGGCGACGAUCCGUAACUGGUCUGAGAGGAUGAUCAGUCACACGGGAACUGAGACACGGUCCAGACUCCUACGGGAGGCAGCAGUGGGUAAGAUUGCACAAGGGGCGCAAGCCUGAUGCAGCCAUGCCGCGUGUAUGAAGAAGUCCUUAGGGUUGUAAAGUACUUUCAGCGGGGAGGCGUUACCCGCAGAAGAAGCACCGGCUAACUCCGUGCCAGCAGCCGCGGUAAUAC
rnacentral:rRNA from 1 species